rnacentral:lncRNA from 1 species
GCCAGUGUCACCAAAGUCAAAGUCCUCAAGGUCCAGAGGCCGAAGGUCUCCGAGGCCAGGGACUGGGACAACAGGCAAAAGUCCAGUUUCCGGAAGACCACAGGAAGAAGGCGGGAGCUGCACACCUGGGCCCUCGUGGUGGGAGAGGAGGGCACACACAGAUUUGAAGGCUACACUGCCCACAAGUUGCCUUCAGCUGCAGUAUGGAAGACACAUCAGAAAGCGUAGGAGAGACCAUUGGCAGCUCUUACAGCCUGACCCCUCCAGAAUGGACACAGGAGAAAGCCUGAAUGACCUGUUCGAGACCCCCAGCAAUGCAGGAUGUUCUGGGCCCCGACACGCAUAGAAGGAAGAAGCCUUCCUGUGAAUCAGGUCCCAAGCCCAGCAUGAUUCUGCUGAAAUCAACCAGACUGACUCGUUUCUGAGAAGGAACAAAGGGGCCACUGAGACUGUGACCCAGAAGCCCAGAGGAGCCUUGGACCCUAUUUACUGUCCCUUUUCCCUGGAUAAUACAAGGGAUGCGCAUUGGUUGCCCCACAAGCCCUCUGCUCCUUGGCUUCCAUGGACCCAUUUCAGCAGGAAGAAGCCUAGAAGGGGAGCAACUGGGUCAAGUGGAGCUUCUCAAGCCCGCUCAGGAAGCAGACAACAGCACCCAGGGCCUCCCUGCUGCUCCUCUGCAGCGCACCAGCCUCUGCUUUCCUUGGCCUGAAAGCAGCUGGGCCUGGAGCACUUGCCUCGUCCAGCUCACACUACUGCUGCUCUUCACACACUGGCCCUGUCUGCUCACUUGGGCUCUGCCUGCCCGCACCUCUCCAAGGACCAUCCUGCCUGGCACCUGCAGAACUCCCAACGUGGCCUGCAGGGCAGCAAGGGGAACCUGUUUCCAGGCUCACAGCCGACACUCAGACAGGGGCCGUCCACAUGCCGGCUGAUCAGCCCUCCAUGAUUUGAGACGCUGCACGAUGAAUGCAAUCCUUAUGUACUGUAAACAUGUCUAAUAAUUUUUUUUAAAUAUUUAAAACAAGUUUGAGAUGAGUUGAGAAAAUGAAGUAUUCACACACAACAGAGCACUGCUGUGCUAUAAAAAGAUAAACCUGGG